rnacentral:tRNA from 1 species
GAGGGUAUAGCUCAGUGGUUGAGCAUAUGCCUAGCAUGCACAAGGUCCUGGGUUCAAUCCCCAGUGCCUCCA